UCUGAAUUAGUCACAAGAAGAUGAAGUGUAUGUUUCUGUGUGUCUGAGUUUCCUUCAUAAAUGUGCAGACUGUGUUUCCGUCUCUCUCUGUUAACACUGAGUAUCGUCUGAAGUCGUAUCAAGCACCAUUCUUUUUCCUGCUCUAAGGAUGUCUGCUGCUCUGACAGAGAUGGCAGCCACAGCUUCUAGGAGAUUCCUCGUGUCUUUCCAGUUUUAUUUAUUGUAUUGCUUCUU
rnacentral:lncRNA from 1 species